rnacentral:rRNA from 1 species
UACGAAGGGGGCUAGCGUUGCUCGGAGUCACUGGGCGUAAAGCGCACGUAGGCGGAUUGCUAAGUCAGGGGUGAAAUCCUGGAGCUCAACUCCAGAACUGCCUUUGAUACUGGCGACCUUGAGUCCGGGAGAGGUGAGUGGAACUGCGAGUGUAGAGGUGAAAUUCGUAGAUAUUCGCAAGAACACCAGUGGCGAAGGCGGCUCACUGGCCCGGUACUGACGCUGAGGUGCGAAAGCGUGGGGAGCAAACAGG